rnacentral:rRNA from 1 species
CGUGUAGGCGGGAAUACAAGUCAGAUGUGAAAUACCGAGGCUUAACCUCGGGGCUGCAUCUGAAACUGUGUUUCUUGAGUGUCGGAGAGGAAAGUGGAAUUCCCAGUGUAGCGGUGAAAUGCGUAGAUAUUGGGAGGAACACCAGUGGCGAAGGCGACUUUCUGGACGAUAACUGACGCUGAGGCGCGAAAGCGUGGGGAGCAAACAGGAUUAGAUACCCUGGUAGUCCACGCUGUAAACGAUGGAUACUAGGUGUAGGAGGUAUCGACCCCUUCUGUGCCGGAGUUAACACAAUAAGUAUCCCGCCUGGGGAGUACGGCCGCAAGGUUGAA